rnacentral:rRNA from 1 species
UUAAAAAGAUAAUUGGUAUCAAUUUAAUUUGAAAUAAAAAUAUUAUUUAAAUUUUUAUUUAAUUAAUUUUUAAAAAAAAUAAUUUAAAUUUUAUUAUUAUAAUAAGAAAAAAUUAAUGUUAUUAUAGUUUAUAGUAUUGUGAAAGAAUAUUUAAAUUAUUUUAUAGAAAAAUUUAUUUUUUGUACCUUGUGUAUCAGGGUUUAUUAAAAUUUUUUAAAAAUUUAUUAUUCUCGAAUUUAAAAGAGCUAAAAAGUUAUUUUUAUUAAUGUUGAAUAAUUAUAUAAAAUAAUUUUUUUGUAAUGAAAUGUUAUUCGUUUUUAAAUAUAUCUAGUUUUUUAAGAAAUAAAUUUAAUUUUUUUAUUAUUAAUAUAAUUUUUAAUUUUUAAUAUUAUAUUUAUAAUAAUUAAUAUUUUUAGGGAUUAGCUUAAAAAUAUAAUUUUAUUAAAAUAAAAGUUUUAUUAGAUUUUUUAGGGUUAGAAAUUUUCAUAAUUUAAAGUAUGUUAUAAUUUAAUUUUAUUAUUUAUAAUUUUUAUUUUUUAUAGAUUUUAUAUUAAAAUGUAAAUUUUAAUUUAAUAAAUUUAGUAAUAAUGAUAAAAUUAGUAUAAUUUUUUUUAUAAAUAAAAAAUAAUUAAAUGUUAAUUAAAGGAAUUCGGCAAAUUAAUUUUCACCUGUUUAAUAAAAACAUGUCUUUUUGGUAUUAAUUUAAGGUUUAGCCUGCCCGAUGAAGAUUUGAAUGGCCGCAGUAUUUUGACUGUGCUAAGGUAGCAUAAUCAUUAGUUUUUUAAUUAAAAGCUGGAAUGAAGGGUUGGAUGAAAAAUUAACUGUCUCUAAUUAAUUUUAUUAGAAUUUUAUUUUUAAGUUAAAAAGCUUAAAUUUAUUUAAAAGACGAGAAGACCCUAUAGAGUUUAAUAUAUUUAAUUUUGUAGAUAUUUAGAAUUUAUUUUUUAUAUUUAUAGUAUAUUUAAUUGGGGUGAUUAAAAAAUUUAAUAAACUUUUUUUAAAAAUUUAUAUUAAUUAAUAAAUAUAUGAUCCAAUGAUUUUGAUUAUAAGAUAAAUUACCUUAGGGAUAACAGCGUAAUUUUAUUAGAGAGUUCAAAUCGAAAAUAAAGUUUGCGACCUCGAUGUUGGAUUAAAAUUAAUAUUUGGUGUAGAAGCUAAAUAUUUUAAGUCUGUUCGACUUUUAAAAUUUUACAUGAUCUGAGUUUAAACCGGUGUAAGCCAGGUUGGUUUCUAUCUUUAAAUAUUUAUAAUAUUUUAGUACGAAAGGACCAAAUAUU